rnacentral:rRNA from 1 species
AUUGAACGCUGGCGGCAGGCCUAACACAUGCAAGUCGAACGAGUGGCGGACGGGUGAGUAAUGUCUGGGAAACUGCCUGAUGGAGGGGGAUAACUACUGGAAAAGGUAGCUAAUACCGCAUACCAUCAGAUGUGCCAAGAUGGGAUUAGCUUGUUGGUGGGGUAUCGGCUCACCAAGGCGACGCUCCCUAGCUGGUCUGCGAGGAUGACCAGCCACACUGGAACUUAGACACGGUCCAGACUCCUACGGGAGGCAGCAGUGGGGAAUAUUGCACAAUGGGCGCAAGCCUGAUGCAGCCAUGCCGCGUGUAUGAAGAAGGCCUUCGGGUUGUAAAGUACUUUCAGCGGGGAGGCGUUACCCGCAGAAGAAGCACCGGCUAACUCCGUGCCAGCCGCCGCGGUAAUAC